GACGAACGCUGGCGGCGUGCUUAACACAUGCAAGUCGAACGGAAAGGCCCUGCUUUUGUGGGGUGCUCGAGUGGCGAACGGGUGAGUAACACGUGAGUAACCUGCCCUUGACUUUGGGAUAACUUCAGGAAACUGGGGCUAAUACCGGAUAGGAGCUCCUGCUGCAUGGUGGGGGUUGGAAAGUUUCGGCGGUUGUGGAUGGACUCGCGGCUUAUCAGCUUGUUGGUGGGGUAGUGGCUUACCAAGGCUUUGACGGGUAGCCGGCCUGAGAGGGUGACCGGCCACAUUGGGACUGAGAUACGGCCCAGACUCCUACGGGAGGCAGCAGUGGGGAAUAUUGCACAAUGGGCGGAAGCCUGAUGCAGCAACGCCGCGUUCGGGAUGACGGCCUUCGGGUUGUAAACCGCUGUCGCCGGUGACGAAGCGUGAGUGACGGUAAUGGGUAAAGAAGCACCGGCUAACUACGUG
rnacentral:rRNA from 1 species